rnacentral:rRNA from 1 species
GACGAACGCUGGCGGCGUGCCUAAUACAUGCAAGUCGAGUGGACCAAAGGGAGCUUGCUCCUGGAGGUUAGCGGCGAACGGGUGAGUAACACGUGGGCAACCUGCCUGUAAGACUGGGAUAACAUCGAGAAAUCGGUGCUAAUACCGGAUAAUAAAAAGAACUGCAUGGUUCUUUUUUGAAAGAUGGUUUCGGCUAUCACUUACAGAUGGGCCCGCGGCGCAUUAGCUAGUUGGUGGGGUAACGGCUCACCAAGGCGACGAUGCGUAGCCGACCUGAGAGGGUGAUCGGCCACACUGGGACUGAGACACGGCCCAGACUCCUACGGGAGGCAGCAGUAGGGAAUCUUCCGCAAUGGACGAAAGUCUGACGGAGCAACGCCGCGUGAGUGAUGAAGGUUUUCGGAUCGUAAAACUCUGUUGUUAGGGAAGAACAAGUGCCGUUCGAAAGGGCGGCACCUUGACGGUACCUAACGAGAAAGCCACGGCUAACUACGUGCCAGCAGCCGCGGUAAAGU